AACAAACGCUGGCGGCGUGCCUAACACGUGCAAGUCGUACGAGAAAGGGUCCUUCGGGGCCUGAGUAAAGUGGCGCACGGGUGAGUAACGCGUGGAUAAUCUGCCCUUCAGUUGGGAAUAACUCAUCGAAAGGUGGGCUAAUACCGAAUAAUGCUGUGAGACCUCGGUUGAUCAGCCAAAGAGAGCCUCUGCUUGCAAGCCCUCGCUGAAGGAUGAGUCCGCGUACCAUUAGCUAGUUGGUAGGGUAAUGGCCUACCAAGGCGACGAUGGUUAGCUGGUCUGAGAGGAUGAUCAGCCACACUGGAACUGAGACACGGUCCAGACUCCUACGGGAGGCAGCAGUGAGGAAUCUUGCGCAAUGGGGGCAACCCUGACGCAGCAACGCCGCGUGAGUGAGGAAGGUCUUCGGAUCGUAAAGCUCUGUCGGAUGGAAAGAACCGCAUAGGGGUAAACAGCCCCUGUGUCUGACGGUACCAUCAAAGGAAGCACCGGCUAACUCCGUGCCAGCAGCCGCAGUAAGAC
rnacentral:rRNA from 1 species